UUAAUUCCUUAAUUAUGUUUUUCUACAUAGUUUAUUGUUGAUGAAAGGUCUUUUUAAAGCUAAAGUUUGUUGAUUGUUUGAAUUGAAUGUUAAUUUAAUUUUUAGAUACUCAAAAUAACUCACCUUUCUUAGAUACUCAGAAAACAAAAACCAUAUACAUCCAAUUUCACAAUAUUACUCCAUUUCAUCUAAAGAUUACACUUUUAUACACUAUUGCUUGUCAAAUAAAUGUUCUGAUGAUCAUGUAAUCAAAAAACAAACAAAUUUUAUUGUGAGUUUUGUCAAAACAUGCCUAUCUUCCAAGUAUAAAAAUAUUCAAAAGUGAAGUUUUUGAGCAAACUCACUGUUUGAUGAAUUGCAUCAACCAAAUCCACCAUUAGAAUUAACUAUGGCAAAGCCUGAUUCAAUUGAGGUUUAUUAUCCCAAUGGAAUAUACAGAGUUAUUAGCAGAAAACCCAUGCCUGAAACUAGGUGGAUCAAUCUCUUGGUUUAACACGAUUGUAGACUUGAGAUUUGUACAGAGAAGAAAACCAUCUUAUCCAUUGCGGAUAUUAUUGCUUUGAUUGGAAAUAAGUGUGAUGGUGUGAUUGGGCAGUUGAUUGAGGACUGGGAAGAGACUUUGUUCUCUGCAUUGAGCAGGGGUAGGUGGUAAAACUUUCAGUAACAUGAUUGUUGGUUACAACAAUGUUGAUGUUAAUGCUGCCAAAAACUAUGGUGUUGCUGUUUGUAACACUCCUAGUUUUCGUAUUAUUGGACCUGUUGCACGUUCUACGUGUCCGAUUCUACAACACCUUUAGCAAGAUAUUGUGCACACAUUAAGGAGGUACAGUUGUAGGAACCGGAUUAAACACGCAAAAAGGAUAUGGAGUUUCACAAUGAAGUCAGCCUGCUGCAGACAUGAGCUUGUGAUACAAACAGUGCCAAGAGCCUUGCCAAACAGAUUAUGCACAAUUCGUGUGUUAGACUAUUUUGCUAAUUUUAUUCGCAAAGGCUAUUUACGCUCAUUCAUAAUUCUUACAGAACCUUCUACUAAAAUAUGAUCAGGAUUACUAAAUGUGUCACACUCAACAAGGUAACAUCUGCAUCAAGAAUGAAACAUUCCUAAAAAAAUUAUAUUACUGGUUUGAUCUUUGACAUGAAUGUUUCAUGAAUUCAUUUGGAUUUGGUGCAGGUUUUUAGCAUCUUCGGUUUUACUAAUGAAGACCACAUUGGCAAAAUAUUUUUUCCUACAGCUGAGAUACUUUCUGUUGUAUACUUAAGUCUUGAUGAUUGUACUAGGUUUUUCUUUAUAAUUUAUGCGUAGUUGCCUUUCAGUUUGUGUUAUCGUGGCUACCAUUGAUGAAAUGGGUUUUGGCUUUUGGUGAAGAUGUUUUUUGGGCUGUAUUAAAAACUUGGUAAAAAUAAUAACUUUUGGUUAAAUCAGAUUUGUUGUUUUUGGGGAGAGUAAAAAAUGAAGCCCUUUCUUUGUGCUUUUCUUGUCCAAUUUGUUUGUAUUUCCAUGUAAAUUUUGCUUUCUUGUUUUUGGGAGUGUUAUGGGAUUAUUAGUUGUGAUUUUUGUGAAUUUCACUUUCGUAAUCAAAUUUAAGGAAAUGUUGAUGAAGUAAUAUAAGGAGUAUGGAUCAGGUGUUUGAUAAAAAGACUUUGAGAAAAAACGUUGUGUAUCUCACGGUUUCUUUAACUUUGCUUCUUUCACCUAUGACCUAACAAAAGUCUCCCUCCUUCACCCGUAGACUGCCAACUCCUUUGCUUACAUCCCUCUCAUUUUUUCAGUUCUUUUUCGUAUUUCUAAGUUCGUGCUAAUCAAGAACAAAUCAAUUUGUUAAGUUUUGCAGUAUUAAAACUGAAGGAUCGAUUGAUUAUUUGGUUUCUUUACUUCAAUAUGUUUGGGUAUUUUCACUUGCUAGGCAAAUUUCUUGAACAACAACAAUUAUUUUGAAUUGAUGAGGUACUGUUUGGAUUUGAUUGGCUUUGUUUAUAAUUGUUUGUUUAAUUGAAUUUUUUGAUGGUUUUUAAAAUAGGUCCAUAAAUUAUUACAAAGUCUACAUCAAGUAUUGGUAAUAAUGCAGAGACCUAUAAUACUUGCUUCAUCUCAAUCAGAGUGCACAGCUGAGGAGGCUUAUACAUGGAGUAAGGUUCAACAUUCAACUUUUUAAGUGUUACAGACAUCAUUUAGAUGUGUUCAAGAUCAGUUCAAUCGUUUUCCUGGAGUUGAAGUUUUUUGGCAUACUUGCUACCAUGAUUAAAAAAAAAAAGAAAUCAUAAUAAACUCUAAAAUCAAAGAAAUAUUGCCAAUUAAUUUUGGUUGGUUGGUUAAGUGCCUAAGCACACAAUUGUUUUCCGAAAGUACGAACAAUGAUGAUGUCUUUCUCGUACGUGCGUCUUCUACAUGAUACACUAAAAGAUUCUUCCUGCAAGUUGCCUCUGUACAUUCUGGAAAACAUCGUUAUUCUUUUUGAAGGUUUUUUUAUGAUUGCAUUGUUAGCCCAAGUCUGUGUUGAUUCAUGUGGUUCUACCAAGAACCAUCCAGUCUAUAGCUCAAUCUCUAAGUUGUAAGUACAUUUUGUUCAAGCGGCUAUUUUCCGUGUUCAGUAUUUUUCUUAAAA